CUUUCAAAUGUAAGCUCAUCUGUUUAUCAUUCCUUUGUCUAUUCAAAUCCAUGCACUGGUGUUUUAUUUUUCUGCUGAGUUCUGUGGUAAGUGUAAGUGGAAUCUCUUUUUUGUUGAGGGUGCUCGUUCAAGAUUGUAGGUGAAACACAUGGUGGAGUGCAAGGAAAUCUUCACAGUUCUUCCUAAUGGUGCCAAAUUCCUCCAUCAGAUUACACAUGUCAGAUCUGACCCUAUCCCCUUUAUUUUUGCCAAGUCCUUUUUAAAGGUUGUAGAUUGAUAGGCUAUUUAUCAUUUUCAAUUUUUUGUUACCUAAAGGCAAAUAGAAAUAUGCAAAUAUUCUAUGUCAAGAAACUAUAUUUUUAGCCUUCG